rnacentral:rRNA from 1 species
AACGAACGCUGGCGGCGUGCCUAAAACAUGCAAGUCGCACGAGAAAGUAUUUAUACGAGUAAAGUGGCGCACGGGUGAGUAACACGUGGAUAACAUACCUUCGAGACUGGUAUAACAGUUGGAAACGACUGAUAAUCCCAGAUAAAGUUUAGAAUACAUUGGGGUAUUUUUGAAUGAAAGCGGGCCUUCGGGUGUCGGCUUGAAGAGUGGUCUGCGUCCCAUUAGCUAGUUGGUGAGGUAAAGGCUCAUCCAAGGCAUUGAUGGGUAGCUGGUCUGAGAGGACGAUCAGCCACACUGGGACUGAAACACGGCCCAGACUCCUACGGGAGGCAGCAGUUAGGAAUAUUGCGCAAUGGAGGGAACUCUGACGCAGCGACGCCGCGUGAGCGAAGAAGGCCUUAGGGUUGUAAAGCUCUGUUGAAAGGGAAGAAUGCUGACGGAUGAAUAAUUUGGUUAGUUGACGGUA